GCAGUCAGAGGCGAUGAAGGACGUGCUAAUCUGCGAAAAGCGUCGGUAAGGUGAUAUGAACCGUUAUAACCGGCGAUGUCCGAAUGGGGAAACCCAGUGCAAUUCGUUGCACUAUCGUUAACUGAAUACAUAGGUUAACGAGGCGAACCGGGGGAACUGAAACAUCUAAGUACCCCGAGGAAAAGAAAUCAACCGAGAUUCCCCCAGUAGCGGCGAGCGAACGGGGAGCAGCCCAGAGUCUGAAUCAGCUUGUGUGUUAGUGGAACGGUCUGGAAAGUCCGACGGUACAGGGUGAUAGUCCCGUACACCAAAAUGCACAGGUUGUGAACUCGAAGAGUAGGGCGGGACACGUGGUAUCCUGUCUGAAUAUGGGGGACCAUCCUCCAAGGCUAAAUACUCCUGACUGACCGAUAGUGAACCAGUACCGUGAGGGAAAGGCGAAAAGAACCCCGGCGAGGGGAGUGAAAAAGAACCUGAAACCGUGUACGUACAAGCAGUGGGAGCACCUUCGGGUGUGACUGCGUACCUUUUGUAUAAUG
rnacentral:rRNA from 1 species